GAAUUAGUUUAACGGUAAAACACUAUGAGGGGUGAAACACUGGUUCGAUUCCAGUAAAGUGAUGGUUCA
rnacentral:tRNA from 1 species